rnacentral:lncRNA from 1 species
AAUGCAAUGAUGCAAAUGAGUGUCAUUCCAGAAGUUCUUAAAAGCUGCAAAACACUCACUAUCAGGGUAGAUGGCUAUGCUAACGAGCUAUCUAGCUGGUAGCUUUAGCGUUCAUCACAGGUUUGUUUAAUGGUGCACUCGAGUUAAUUCUAGUGAUAUGGCACAUAGGAAACAAGUAUUCCAGUCUAAGGUUCUUCAGAGGCUGUACCUUACCUCCCAGGCCUGCGAAAGAAUCCAGCGCUCCAUCGCCUGAGACCUCUGAAACAAAAAGUAGGCCUAGAGGAGGAGGCCACUAUCACUGUUGAGAACACUCAUGAGUCCAACAAAGAUGAAGAGGUAGAAGGAGACAAUGGGGGAAGAAGGAGAAAUGGGAACUAUAGCUCCAGGAGGUGGGACAGUGGUGGCCCGGGUGGACAGAGCGGGCCAGGUUACAGAAUCCAACCCUGGGGACCCCCAUGGAGGAAGGAGUCUGGCUCAACAAGAAGAAGAAGAGGAGGAAGCUGAAGAAGAAACAUCAUAAACAGAAGCUCUUGUAUCUAGGUCUGGUGCCCCGUGCUGCAGCUCAAGUUCACCUACGAGAGCGAGGAGGAUGGGAGGGGGGGAGGAAGAGAUGAGGCAGAGAAGAGCAGCUGAAGUGAUAAUCUUCCUCAGGACCACACAAGAUCUACGUGUCUGAUUGUUCAUCUGGUAGUGGAGGGUCUUCUGACCAGCCUGUACAAUGGAACAUUCCUCCCCUGCUGUUUUGGCCCAGCUCCACAGCCUCUAGUCCCUGGUGCAGCAACAGGACACAGCAAGGAUGGCAAAGAAUCUGCAGGAGCUCCAGAACAGCUCUACCAUGUCUACUGGUGAGUAGUCUUAUCUGGUUUUACCUCGCCUGGAUUAACCUGCGUUUGUCUGAGCUCGCCAUUCGCGUACACAUGCAUACAGUCACCGGUCAGUAUCAGCCCUCACCUGUCCUUAAAUACCAGACCACACCUGUCUAUACUAUCACUUACCUAUACAUGCAUGCUCUCACCUAUCUAAACACUAACCAGUUUGAAAAUCACCAGCGUCUCCUGCCAUUCAUUCACCUGGAGUUUCACCCAAGAGCUGCCAGGAGACCACACUUUGUACAGGUCUAGGAAUUGUGAACGAGAUGACCUCAGGUGAUGCCACUGCAGUUGUGUCCCUGUUUCAGUACUGGAUCACAGACAAUCCCGCCCAUGCCGAGAGAAUGGAAAACAGGCCAACCUACAACAUAACCUUCCUAGUCGAGCCAACCAACAACACAGCCUUAGACUUUCCUAGAUGUUCAGGGUUUUAAACAACACUGCUGACGGAAAACUUGUCUGACUUAAUUCAUUGUGAGCCCAUGUAACAGAGUUAAGUACAUACCGUAAGCUCACUCCACAGCUAGCUUGAAAUGUCGCGGAUGGAGCCAUCCAAUCGGUACCUUUUGGGUGGCUCAAACCGUUGGAAUGUUGUCAAGGAGGGCGGCCACGUGUGUUUACAAAGCAGAGGUCCCGAGUUUGAGCCGGGUACGAGCCGAAUCAGGGGGAAGUGAUACCAGACACAAUUAAUUAACCGUUUAAUAGAUUUUCCCCACAGAAAAGUGUGGCGAGCGAGCGUAUAAAAACAUUAAGUGGAUAAGGAAUAACAGUACUUUACCACAUUGUCCUAUGCACCUGUGCGGGCUCUAGGUCUAGUGUGAGCUUCAAGAGUUAUAUUAUUCCAUGUGAAAACCUACACUAUUUUUCUGUUACAAUGUUGUUAUAACCAUGAGAAAUGAAACAGACUAAAGUAUAGCUUGUGACAGUUUCGUUAUUCCUGAUAAAAAAAAAACGUCUCUCUGAUACACACAACCGUUCAAAAGUUUAGGGUCACUUAGAAAUGUCCUUGUUUUUGAAAGAAAAGAGAAGAGAAAAAAAAGUCCAUUAAAAUAACAUCCAAUUGAUCAGAAAUACAGUGUAGACAUUGUUAUAAAUGACUUCUUUUUUUAAUGGAAUAUCUACAUAGCCGUACAGAGGCCCAUUAUCAGCAACCAUCACUCCUGUGUUAGCUAAUCUUAAAUGUAUCCUUUUAAAAGGCUAAUUGAUCAUUAGAAAACAC